GGGGCUGUGGCUCAGUGGUAGAACAUCUGCUUGGCACGCAAAAGGGCUUAAGUUCAAUCUCUGGCAUCUCCA
rnacentral:tRNA from 1 species